CACGUAGGGGGCAAGCGUUGUCCGGAUUUAUUGGGCGUAAAGAGCUCGUAGGCGGUUUGGCAAGUCGGGUGUGAAAACUCCGGGCUCAACUCGGAGACGCCACUCGAUACUGCCAUGACUCGGGUCCGGUAGGGGAGUGCGGAAUUCCUGGUGUAGCGGUGAAAUGCGCAGAUAUCAGGAGGAACACCGGUGGCGAAGGCGGCACUCUGGGCCGGUACUGACGCUGAGGAGCGAAAGCGUGGGGAGCGAACAGG
rnacentral:rRNA from 1 species